ACAAUUCAAAUCGUUAUCACUUUCAUAAUACAAGUCACAUACCGCAAAUGGACAUAUUUGUCUUUGGUUUUGCUUCUAUCGUUGAAAAUUCAUUGAAAGUGAAAGAUAUACCAUCGCCAUUGUCUGGUGUGCUUCUUAACAGAACCGCGAUGCUUAUAGACAGUAUAUUCACGAGGUUGCCAAACAUCAUCGACGAUGUAGAACAUGAUAUAUUCUCAUGACAACAAAUUCGGUACGCGUAAAUGUUGUGGGGGUUUGAAUUGCUAUUUUAUGAAUUGCCGAAAAAUGGAGUUCUUUGGAAUAGAGCUGACGAGAGAGAAAAAAUUCGGACGGAGACAAGGAGGGGUGUGCAUGUGUGUGUGUCUGGUUGAAUCGAGCAAAAUGGGCAAAAUGCGAUAAAUGGCAAACGACGACGGCGACGAGCACAGCGAAAAACCGGAAAUUGUGUACAGAAAUCAGUUUAUUGUGAAAAUGGGAAAAUUCAUUUAGAUGCGAACAAUGGACGAAUGCCUGGUGCACGACAACACUGGCAAUAAAUAAAUUAUUCGCAGCGCACCAAACAGGCUGCAAAUGUUUGUGUGAUUUGAUUUGGUUUAUGUUUGUUCACCAUUUAUGCAUUCCAAUAUGAAUAUCCGUUGUAAAAAUUGAUUCGGAUAUGGUGGAGGUUAUAUUGAAUUUUCACAUAUUCACACAAUGGCCCAAUGGUCGACGAAUGUACACAUGCACACCAAAAAAAUAAACAAUUUCCAAUGA